GCAGUCGAGCGGANCGACGGGAGCUUGCUCCCUUAGGUCAGCGGCGGACGGGUGAGUAACACGUGGGUAACCUGCCUGUAAGACUGGGAUAACUCCGGGAAACCGGGGCUAAUACCGGAUGCUUGAUUGAACCGCAUGGUUCAAUCAUAAAAGGUGGCUUUUAGCUACCACUUNCNGAUGGACCCGCGGCGCAUUAGCUAGUUGGUGAGGUAACGGCUCACCAAGGCGACGAUGCGUAGCCGACCUGAGAGGGUGAUCGGCCACACUGGGACUGAGACACGGCCCAGACUCCUACGGGAGGCAGCAGUAGGGAAUCUUCCGCAAUGGACGAAAGUCUGACGGAGCAACGCCGCGUGAGUGAUGAAGGUUUUCGGAUCGUAAAACUCUGUUGUUAGGGAAGAACAAGUACCGUUCGAAUAGGGCGGCACCUUGACGGUACCUAACCAGAAAGCCACGGCUAACUACGUGCCAGCAGCCGCGGUAAUACGUAGGUGGCAAGCGUUGUCCGGAAUUAUUGGGCGUAAAGCGCGCGCAGGCGGUUUCUUAAGUCUGAUGUGAAAGCCCCCGGCUCAACCGGGGAGGGUCAUUGGAAACUGGGGAACUUGAGUGCAGAAGAGGAGAGUGGAAUUCCACGUGUAGCGGUGAAAUGCGUAGAGAUGUGGAGGAACACCAGUGGCGAAGGCGACUCUCUGGUCUGUAACUGACGCUGAGGCGCGAAAGCGUGGGGAGCGAACAGGAUUAGAUACCCUGGUAGUCCACGCCGUAAACGAUGAGUGCUAAGUGUUAGAGGGUUUCCGCCCUUUAGUGCUGCAGCAAACGCAUUAAGCACUCCGCCUGGGGAGUACGGUCGCAAGACUGAAACUCAAAGGAAUUGACGGGGGCCCGCACAAGCGGUGGAGCAUGUGGUUUAAUUCGAAGCAACGCGAAGANCCUUACCAGGUCUUGACAUCNUNUGACAACCCUAGAGAUAGGGCUUCCCCUUCGGGGGCAGAGUGACAGGUGGUGCAUGGUUGUCGUCAGCUCGUGUCGUGAGAUGUUGGGUUAAGUCCCGCAACGAGCGCAACCCUUGAUCUUAGUUGCCAGCAUUCAGUUGGGCACUCUAAGGUGACUGCCGGUGACAAACCGGAGGAAGGUGGGGAUGACGUCAAAUCAUCAUGCCCCUUAUGACCUGGGCUACACACGUGCUACAAUGGGCAGAACAAAGGGCAGCGAAGCCGCGAGGCUAAGCCAAUCCCACAAAUCUGUUCUCAGUUCGGAUCGCAGUCUGCAACUCGACUGCGUGAAGC
rnacentral:rRNA from 1 species